AGUCGCAGCCCUGCUUGAGGUGCUCAAUCACUAAAUCUAGUGAGCGAGUGAAACGGGAAGUUGGUUGAAGUCCAACGCUGCCCCCGCAACGGUAAGCAAGUUAAGUCGGCAUCCUCGCCACUGUGCAGUAAAGCAUGGGAAGGCCGUUCGACUAAGUCGAAUGACAACUUGUAAGCCCGGAGACCGGCCUGAAGUGAUUUUUUAGA
rnacentral:ncRNA from 2 species